UACGUAGGUGGCGAGCGUUGUCCGGAUUUACUGGGCGUAAAGAGCGCGCAGGCGGCUGAUCAAGUCCGAUGUGAAAUCUCCCGGCUUAACUGGGAAUCCGCAUUGGAAACUGAUCGGCUUGAAGGUGGGAGAGGGUAGCGGAAUUCCCGGUGUAGUGGUGAAAUGCGUAGAUAUCGGGAGGAACACCAGUGGCGAAGGCGGCUACCUGGCCCAUUCUUGACGCUGAGGCGCGAAAGCUAGGGGAGCAAACGGG
rnacentral:rRNA from 1 species